UUUGUACUUUCUUUAAUUUAAAAAGCAGAACUCACAUCAACUAAGUCGGAUUUGGCAUAAUUUUAAGAAGAAACAUUAUCAUUACAUUCAAUUCUCUUGUUAUUCUUGGCUUUGAAAGGUGAACGUGAGGUUAUCAUCCAGGUUCGUGGAAAGCACUAAUGAUGGUCUCGGGGAAAAGGGCAGUUUCGACAUCUCCAAGGUAAUGGUUGUGGUUGUGGUUCAAGAGCUUCUCUAUCCAGGACUGCCAAGAGUACAUUUCAUUAUAACCAUAGACCAUGGCAACUAAUCAAGAAGUAAAUUCCAUGAAUUGUGAAAGUUUUUUAUAUAUUUAUUAUAAAAUAUUUGGAAUUGUUUCUUGACAGACUUGAGUGUUAAGUAUUUGGCUGUAAAUUUUACAUAUGUAACCCAAAAUAACUCAAUGAAAUAGCUUCGUUUUACAGAAGGUGAAACUGAGGUUUAGUGAAUUUGAGAAAUGCUCCAGAUUAUACUUGGACCUGGAAAAAUCAGGACUAAAACCAAGCCUGCCAAACACAAAAGGUGGUGCUCUUACGCAGAAUGGCACUCUGUCUUCUAUUCUGCCAUUUACCCUCCAGCUCCAUACCUCGUCCUACUUUCCUCAUUUACAACUGAGAACAUAGAGAAGUGAGCUUGCCUGCAGGGCUUACCACGGAAGAGAAAAGAGUACGUAGACAGAAACCAGUUACUUAAAUAUUAGAUCCACAAGCUCAAUGUUCAAUUCAGAGGUUUCCUAAAUAUCCUGACCUUACAGCUAUCCUCAUGCAACAGUGUAACACCAAAAAAUAUAUUAAUAUACAUGAAUACAAAUGAAAAUUAUACCUCCUACAAAUUAUCUUUUUAGAAAUAAGACUGGGCUUAAGCUUACAAUAAGUACUUUCAGGAUACAGACAUAUUUUAAACAUGUAGCAUAAUUUUGCUAUUUAAAUUAAUAAUCUGGAAGAAAAAAUCAAUAAUCAUCAUGGUACUAGCUAUUAAAAAUAAAUCUGUAUUUUUCACAUUCUACUAUUCUAAAUAAACCAUUUGUAGUAGGGUUGGCAAACAUGCUCAUACUCAAUUUCAUUCUAUGCAAGCAUUGCACACGUGAGGGACUCAUGGUUUGUUUGUUGAUGUUGGCCAAGUUAAAACCUCCAUUGCUAUCUGAACAUGUGAAAGUUUUCAAACCUGCUAACAUGGAGUUUGCACCUGACAGAAGGGAAAAACAUUUUAACAAGCUUUAUUUCAUCUGUUGAGAGAAAAUGAAAUGAAGUUUGCAGUGAUAUUUGCUUUUUAACAGAGCCAGUGAAAAAGCUGUGGAAAGAUAAACCUAAUUCUGCCUGAAGAAAACCUUUUCAGGGAGGCAAUCUUCAGUCCAAGUUUCUUCCACUUCUUUCUUCUGUUCUCUGUGUAGUCAGCCCAAAGGAUAUUUGAGUUCAAUUUGCAGAGAAAUGCCAUAGAUAGAAAUGAUAAUGUCCCUUCAACUUAAAAGGGCCGAGCAUGUUUUGAAAGUGUUUUAUGAACUGGAAACCUUUCUAUGAGAUAUUCCACUGUAGCCCCAUAAAACCUUACACCCUGCUGGAAUUUCAUCCUGUUAAAUUUGGCAGUGUUUCCUUCCUCAAGUAAUGAGUUCAAUUCAUGUUUUCAUUUAAGUUCAUACCCAGAUACAAAUCAGUGUCACUGCCACAGGCAACGAUUCGCAGAAUUCCCAGGCGCCAAGGCUGAGGGAUGGCGGGUUCAGAAGAAUGAAUGCCAAAUUCUCUUUUUCACUGAGGGCAGUGUAGCAUUUACUGUCAUAAGCCUGCCUCAUGCCAAGUCCCAUGGAGGCAGUUGGCUAAGUGGGCUUCCGGCUUCUAUCUCAACGCAAGCUCGUCUUCUAAAGCCUCUCUGGAUUUCCUGUGGUAAUCCUUCUUUGUGUACCUCUGA
rnacentral:lncRNA from 1 species